rnacentral:tRNA from 1 species
UCCCUGGUGGCUCAGAUGGGAAAGAAUCUGCCUGCAAUGCAGAAGACCUAGGUUUGAGCCCUGGGUUGGGAA